CCUACGUGAGGCAGCAGUAGGGAAUCUUCCACAAUGGGCGAAAGCCUGAUGGAGCAACGCCGCGUGGGUGAAGAAGGUCUUCGGAUCGUAAAACCCUGUUGUUAGAGACGAAAGUGCGUGAGAGUAACUGUUCACGUUUCGACGGUAUCUAACCAGAAAGCCACGGCUAACUACGUGCCAGCAGCCGCGGUAAUACGUAGGUGGCAAGCGUUAUCCGGAUUUAUUGGGCGUAAAGGGAACGCAGGCGGUCUUUUAAGUCUGAUGUGAAAGCCUUCGGCUUAACCGGAGUAGUGCAUUGGAAACUGGGAGACUUGAGUGCAGAAGAGGAGAGUGGAACUCCAUGUGUAGCGGUGAAAUGCGUAGAUAUAUGGAAGAACACCAGUGGCGAAAGCGGCUCUCUGGUCUGUAACUGACGCUGAGGUUCGAAAGCGUGGGUAGCAAACAGGAUUAGAUACCCUGGUAGUC
rnacentral:rRNA from 1 species